UACAGAGGGGGCAAGCGUUGUUCGGAAUUACUGGGCGUAAAGGGCGCGUAGGUGGCCUUCUAAGUUGAACGUGAAAUCCCUGGGCUCAACCCAGGAACUGCGUCCAAGACUGGGAGGCUUGAGUUCGGGAGAGGGAUGCGGAAUUCCAGGUGUAGCGGUGAAAUGCGUAGAUAUCUGGAGGAACACCGGUGGCGAAGGCGGCAUCCUGGACCGACACUGACACUGAGGAGCGAAAGCCAGGGGAGCAAACGGG
rnacentral:rRNA from 1 species